rnacentral:rRNA from 1 species
CAGCAGCCACGGGAAUACGAGGGGGGCAAGCGUUGUUCGGAAUUAUUGGGCGUAAAGGGUGCGUAGGCGGUUUGAUAAGUCUGAUGUGAAAUCUAUGGGCUCAACCCAUAGUCUGCAUCGGAAACUGUCAGGCUUGAGAGUGGGAGAGGUGAGUGGAAUUUCCGGUGUAGCGGUGAAAUGCGUAGAGAUGUGGAGGAACACCAGUGGCGAAGGCGACUCUCUGGUCUGUAACUGACGCUGAGGAGCGAAAGCGUGGGGAGCGAACAGGAUUAGAUACCCGCGUAGUCCCUGUCUCUUAUAC